rnacentral:lncRNA from 1 species
CGGUAUACACGGGAUGAAAAAAUUGUUUUCUUGGCUAUAUUUAGAUUAUUUAUUUAUUCUGGCUAUUUUUCGAAAACCGGCCUCGUCUUCGGAGCGAAUGAAACGAACCAGUUUUGACUGCGGGUGAGUUUUCCGCGAAGAUCACUGGCCGUUUUGACUGCGGUGAAGGGUAUUAUCGUCAUUUCCUUCCAUCGUCUGCCACGUCCCCAACUCUGGUCAUCCCCUAACUCCCUGGUCGGGUUAAGCACAGCAAGAGAGAGAGAGAGGGGGCAUCUGACGUGGCGCGACCACCUACGUGUAUAUAUGGGGGGAUCUUGCUCCUUUGCGUCUCUGCC